UACGUAGGGUGCAAGCGUUGUCCGGAAUUAUUGGGCGUAAAGAGCUCGUAGGCGGUCUGUCGCGUCUGCUGUGAAAACUCAGGGCUUAACCCUGAGCUUGCAGUGGGUACGGGCAGACUAGAGUGCGGUAGGGGAGACUGGAAUUCCUGGUGUAGCGGUGAAAUGCGUAGAUAUCGGGAGGAACACCAGUGGCGAAGGCGACUACCUGGCCUGUUCUUGACGCUGAGGCGCGAAAGCUAGGGGAGCAAACAGG
rnacentral:rRNA from 1 species